UGGCAAGAUGGCACUUUAUUUAACGGCGAGAGGAAUUCGCUGAUAUUCAACCAGAAAUGAAUUCAAAGAAAAAUGAGUAAUUGCUGGUCUACUCAGAAUCACUGGGCCCCCACAAGGGACCUGGCUGGGCAGGCUGUUUUCCCAGAUGACCACACCAGCUGUCUUCCACUGUGUAUGGCCAACUGGAGGCUCUGCAGGGAGACCGAGCAGGGUUCCUUAGGCACUGUCUCCAGCAGCAGUUUCAUUGCAUCCUGUCUCCAC